AAAAAAUCAAAGGAUGAACAAUUAAAGUGAUCAGAAUUUUAUAAAAUUUGGGAAAUUAUUACAAAGUUCAGCUGGAAGUCUCCUUCUCCCUGUGGACCUUCCCCAAUUCCACUGGCUGCCCUCCUCAAGGACCCCUGUGAGAUAAAUUCAGAAAUGGCUAUCCUUGGCUUCCCUGGGGAACAAGAGUGCCUGCAGUUCUUUUCCCACUUCUUUUACUUUUCUAUUUCACUGGGCUCUCUAAAUUCAUUUCAGCUCUAGGUAAGGUUAAACUCUUCUCCCGUCUUCUGGAUUUUCAGGUUCUCCAGGGCCGAUGUAUGUUUGGAGAUGGAUUUCCCCCUCUCACACUUCAGGCACUCAGUUUUUUGGCAGUCUCAUGGAGUUUUCAGUGGCAAGCCGCUUAUUUCAAAUGGGAUUUGGAAAGGAUUCCGUGAUGGUUAAUAUUGAGUGUCAACUUGAUUGGAUUGAAGGAUGCAAAGUAUUGUUCCUGGGUGUGUCUGUGAGGGUGUCACCAAAGGAGAUGAACAUUUGAAUCAGUGAGCUGGGAGACACAAACCCAUACUCAAUCUUGGGGGACACCAUCUAAUCAGCUGCCAGUGCAACUAGGAUAAAAUCAGGCAGAGAAAUUUGGAAAGACUAGACUGGCUGAGUCUUCUGGCCUUCAUCUUUCUCCCAUGCUAGAUGCUUCCUGACCUCGAAUAUCAGACUCCAAGUUCUUUAGCUUUUGGACUCUUGGACCUUUGGCCACAGACGGAAGGCUGCACUUUUGAAGUUUUGGGACUUGGACUGGCUUCCUUGCUCCUCAGCUUACAGAUGGCCUAUUGUGGGACUUCACCUUGUGAUUGUGAUUUCAAACCUUCUGGGUUUCUUCCCAGCGCUAAAUCCUGUCGACUGGAUUCACUAGGAUGAAUAGAGAAAGAAGUGUUACAUUUUAAGAUAAUUUCUUUUCUAAACACACAGAAAGGUUUGAAACCAAUGGAGAGAUCAACACAAGCUUUGGAGAGGAGAUCAAAAUAUCUGCUUCACUGGAAGGAGUUUUGGAUUGCUCAACAAGGUUCAGAUCUGUGGCAUAAUCAGGCUUCCUAAUCCUGAACCAAAGUUGUUGUUGUAUCUCGUAGUUGUCACCUGAGAGCUGACUGACCUGUUUCAAGCAUAUGUGAGAUGCCUUCUGGAAAUGCCCGGAAGCAUAUAGCUAAUGGGAUGAGGCAUUUCAAGGUUGAACUUCAGCAAGAGCAAGUGGGAUAAAGGGCAAAAAGCAGCACAUUCCUUUCAAAAUGUCCCCAUUUUAAACUGCAGGCUAGAGUAGACAAUGGAAAUAUAUGACAUAUAAAGAAACUGGUGAGAUUAUUAAGCAGAGGGCCUUCUGGGGAGCAUUAAAGAGUGAGCAAGAAAAAUUUCUCAGACAUGGUGAUUCUAGAAUUGAAAAAUCAUAGACUCUUUCUCUUCUCUCUCCUUUGAGAGUUUCCAGAUGAAUUCUUGGAUCUGGCUACUGAGCAAAUAUAUGAAUAAUAACCUAGGAUCAGCUGGGUAUAAGAGGUUUCCACCAGAAGUCCAUGAAAACCAAUGUUUUUAAGCAUCUAUUGGGCAACUACCAUAAACAAUCAGCAAGAUGUUUAAACAGUUGAUUCUGCCGGCGGCCCAACCAGUUUUUAACUGUAUCACGAAAACUGGCCUGGGGGUACAGUCUGAGAUUAUUCCAGCCCUGCUUUUACACCGCCAGAAAUUCCCUUUCUGUUACAAAUUUCUACCCCAGAGAGGUUUGCAUAUUCUUGGCAUUUUCACUGUGCAUCAGUGAAUCAGCUAGCCUACGGGCCAAGGAGAGGGGAAAAAAAUCCCAAAUAAAACUCAACCCAGUUAGGAUGUCUUCAUCUAUUUUUCAGUGGGAAAAAAUACAGCUGGACUCAGUGACUUCAGUCAAAAGCAAACAUUACUAGUUGCUUCAUUUUUCUAAUUUUUAUUUUUGACUCUCAAGUUUUGGAGGGCAUAAUAAAGACAUAGCCUCAGCAAAGUCACUUAGAAGAUUGAGUUCGUUAUUUUGCAAAGCUUGGGUAGUGACACUUCUGCAAAAUGCACAAGCACAUGAGCAGAGAGAUGUGUGAAUUCAGGAAAGCAGCCAAAUGCACAUCAGAGCUGAGGAAUGUCACAGCGAAAUGAAGAAAACUUGUAAACACCUAUCUGUAUUUUUAGGUAGAGAAUGUUCUAACAUAUUGCCAAUGGGUGCUGCCUGUGUGUUCCUUCCCCUAAGCUUUAAACUCAACUGAUAUUAAAGGUGAUUUGAAAACAAU
rnacentral:lncRNA from 1 species